AAGUAUAUAACCAGGUGCAUGACUGAGGU
rnacentral:piRNA from 1 species